rnacentral:rRNA from 1 species
CGGGUAGGAGUAACGCGUGGGGAACCUGCCUCAAAGAGGGGGACAACAGUUGGAAACGACUGCUAAUACCGCAUAAGCCCACGGCUCGGCAUCGAGCAGAGGGAAAAGGAGCAAUCCGCUUUGAGAUGGCCUCGCGUCCGAUUAGCUAGUUGGUGAGGUAACGGCCCACCAAGGCGACGAUCGGUAGCCGGACUGAGAGGUUGAACGGCCACAUUGGGACUGAGACACGGCCCAG